GUCAUGGCUCAGUGGUAGAGCACUUGCCUGGCAUGUGUGAGGCACUGGGUUCCAUCUUCAGCACCACAAAAAUAUAUAUAUAUAAAUAAAAUAGAGGUCCAACAACAAUUAAAAAAAUAAAAAGGACUGGGGAUAUACUUCAGUGGUAGAGCACCCCUGAGUUCAAUUCUCAGUACA
rnacentral:tRNA from 1 species